UGGGCAACCUGCCCUCAGCUCUGGGAUAACUCCAAGAAAUUGGGGCUAAUACCGGAUAUGACCGCUGACCGCAUGGUCUGAUGGUGGAAAGAUUUAUCGGCUGGGGAUGGGCCCGCGGCCUAUCAGCUUGUUGGUGGGGUAGUGGCCUACCAAGGCGACGACGGGUAGCCGGCCUGAGAGGGUGACCGGCCACACUGGGACUGAGACACGGCCCAGACUCCGUACGGG
rnacentral:rRNA from 1 species